GAAUCAUCGAAUCUUUGAACGCACCUGUGCACUCCUUGGUAUUCCGAGGAGUAUGCCUGUUUGAGUCUCAUGGUAUUCUCAACCCCUAAAUUUUUGUAAUGAAGGUUUAGCGGGCUUGGACUUGGAGGUUGUGUCGGCCCUUGUCGGUCGACUCCUCUGAAAUGCAUUAGCGUGAAUCUUACGGAUCGCCUUCAGUGUGAUAAUUAUCUGCGCUGUGGUGUUGAAGUAUUUAUGGUGUUCAUGCUUCGAACCGUCUCCUUGCCGAGACAAUCAUUUGACAAUCUGAGCUCAAAUCAGGUAGGACUACCCGCUGAACUUAAGCAUAUCAAUAAGCGGAGGAAAAGAAACUAACAAGGAUUCCCCUAGUAACUGCGAGUGAAGCGGGAAAAGCUCAAAUUUAAAAUCUGGCGGCUUUGGUCGUCCGAGUUGUAUUCUAGAGAAGUGUUUUCCGCGUUGGACCGUGUAUAAGUCUCUUGGAAUAGAGCGUCAUAGAGGGUGAGAAUCCCGUCUUUGACACGGACUACCAAUGCUUUGUGAUACACUCUCAAAGAGUCGAGUUGUUUGGGAAUGCAGCUCAAAAUGGGUGGUAAAUUCCAUCUAAAGCUAAAUA
rnacentral:rRNA from 1 species